GGUGAGUUCAGGUGUGCUCUGAGGGAACAAGGUUUCAGUUCAUGUGUGUUGGCUCCUUCAUGUGUCGCUGACAAUUGGAAGCGUGUGGAGACAGCGCCCCCAUGUGGUCAUGGUGGGGACAUACCUGUCUGACUGUGCCUUGUUGCCAUUUAUAUGCCAUAAAAUGACACUUCAUAAAAAUAAGAACUGGGCUUGCUGGUGUGCACCAUUACAACACACUCCACCAAUCAAAGAGCUCCAGCUGGCCAUGCUCGGAGUGGGGAUCUGUAUAGAGGAAGUGAGAGGCUCGGAGCCUGGCAACACAAGUGUGUUUUAACGAAGAACCUGUUCUGCCAGGAUCCUCCCUCCUCUGUCAUGCUCUUUGUCCUGAAUGAAGCCGGCAAACAUCUGAGUGUCCAUGAACAGCUGCAGGAACUGGCGGACUCCGCGGGAGGGGUGAGACUUACGGAAGCUGUCGCGCUGGAGCUCCCUGCUCCCGUUGGAAGACUCGACCAUGUGGAAAGGAUAGUGACCCACCAGCUCCACGAAGAACCGUACGAAACCCUCCGACACCAGAGAGCUCAGGUCAGCCUGCUGACCUGGACAAGUCAAGAUUUGGAUGAAGACAAACUGGUCAAUAACUCUGUUAUCUAAAAAAAAAAAAAAAACAGGUGAAAUCUACUGUCGAUUUAUUAGAACAGAUAUAUUUCAAAUGUGAAUGUUAAAGGCUUUAGCUUAGAUAACUGAUGUAAUAUUGAAUUGUCUUUAUUGAUUGAUGUACUACACAAAACAAAUAAAAACUUUGCAGCCACAUCUGUAGUAUCACAAUCUCGCUAUUACCCAUGAACUAGAGAAAAAAAAAAAGAACCUGAGCGAGUGAUGAUAAAACAACUCUAACGGCUAUAAUCAGCAACACAGGACGCUGAAAUACCU